GAGAGAGUGAGUUGUAAGAAAUGACAUAUAUAUAGAAAAAAUUUCGAGUUUGGUAGGUGAAGUUUAACAAUGAUUUUACAAGGAAAAUUUUACUAGGGUUUUACAUCUCUCUUACAUUUGUUUUACAAUGAGUUUACAACGGAGUUAGGUAAUGAUUUUACAAGGAAAAUCAAUGAUUUUACAAUGAGUUUACAACGGAGUUAGGUAAUGAUCUUAUAACAAUGAUUUUACAAGGAAAAUUUUACUAGGGUUUUACAUCUCUCUUACAUUUUUUUUACAAUGAGUUUACAACGGAGUUAGGUAAUAAAAAGCGCAUUGAAUACGCGUUUUCACCAAUAAAUAACGGUAACAUGUUUCGUCGUAAUAUCCUCAUGCAAUUACGACGAAUAUUUUUUGAGACGUACUUUCGCCGUAAAUUUACAAGGC
rnacentral:lncRNA from 1 species